GUCUUUGGUUCUAAUUUGAGUAACGGUUUGGGGACGAAUCCUAAAUCGGAAAAUUUUUCGUGUACACGAUUGACGAUGCACUGUAAACCUGACAUAACACCAAAGUCUGGUGUCAAUUGUGGCGACGUGACUAUAGCACUAGAUAAUCGACACCACUUACCAGCAAGAGUGGUCUCCAGUUUUCCGGUAUGAUCAUAAACGUAAGCAACCUUGCCGCUUUGAUGAGGAUACACCUUCGCUAAAAUCUGUCCAUCGUCGUUGUAUAAAAUUUCGUACGGAUGCCUGUUCAUUGGGGAAGACUACUGAACAUAUCCUUGAAUGCGUACACCAUCGAUGUGCCAUCGCUGUAUUUGAUUUCGUACAAUCUUCCAGCCCUGUCGAAACCAUAGGUCUCGCUGAUGUCUCCCCAAGUCCAACUGGUCAAUCUACUAAACCGAUCGUACUCGAGUUCCACACCGGAGAAGAUACCAUUUCUCGGUCCCCAUUUAACCGGUCUUGCCGUUUUAUCGUAAGUGACAUUUAGAAACUCUAUGUCCUCCAUGAACACGGCCACGCUAUUAGUCUCCCUAUCGUAUUCCAGAGAUAGUAGAACAUCUCCAUUGACGCGAAGCUUUCUACCAACUUGAGCCACGGACUUGGAAUUACCUCUAUUCUUGUUACCUUGAAGCUUCCGCAGGAAGUAUCGCCACUCGAAUCUAUUUGCCAAAUCUCCAGCGAUCUCCGUUUUCUGUUUAGCAGGUACCGGAUAGCUCUCGCCCAAUAGCGGCUCGAUUUCGGCCAGCACGGAAUACGGCAAGGUGUCGGUGCUGACUGUAUGAGCCCACGGAGUGACCUGACCCACGGAACCAUCAGGAAGCACCGUCGUUCUCUGUUCAGCCUCCCCAAUUUUCGUCACGACGGAAGAUCCCUUGAUCAGCAUCGAGAUGGGUUUUCUAUUAUUCUGCCCUACCUUCACCACUGCACCUUUCAAACUCAGAUCAAAGGUCAAACUGAUCACCUUUCCUGUUGGAGUUACCGCGGUAGUAAGCCUGCCAAAUUCAUCAUAAUUAUAGACGUAACUUCUGCCUGUACUAUCCAAUUUGGUUUUCAGCAAACCGGUCGGCCCAUGAUAAUCGAACGUGACGUUAUAAUUAUCCGGGGUGCUUAGCUCGUGCAACAUUUUCAUCCUGGACAUCCUAAGCCUGCACUUCUGCCCUUUCGUAUUCUCGAUGGAAUUCACUUGGCUGCUGUAAUCUCUUAACAAGAACACUUUGUUACCAGCCGCAUCCGUCACCGUGCUGAGCUUUCCAUUGCUGGUAUUGACAUUGUAGGUGAACUGAUAAACAGCCUCACCGGUGAGAAUGUUUUUGGUAGCCACGUGUUGGCCGAAUCUGUUGAACACGUAAAUCUCUUGGGUGUCAGGCGAGUAAAUUUCAUACUCCCUUGCACCGCUGGCGUCAGGAAUGCUCGCCAUCACAGAUCGGAUCCUGUAGUUCGCCUGGUCACCAAUAUGAACAACACCGUCAGGGGAUACGGCUACUGCGGAUAUCGUGUUGAAUUUGGAGGUAGAUGCGAGAUAGUGAUCAGCUUCGAAACAAUCGCAGCCACGCUCCAGGCAAUUGCACUUCGAUUCUGCCCCUGCGUACGGCGAGAUCUUGCCGUCUGUGCCGAUCACUCUCACGCGGUUGAUUCUUUGCGAAUCGCUUUCCGCGAUGUACAGAUUUCCAGACGGGCCGAACGCGAUACUCUGAGGCAUCACCAGAGUCGCAUGUGUCGCGAGUUCCGUGUCGAACGAGGAAGACGGGGACGCACAGUGUAGCGGACGCCCGGCAACAACUUUGACGCGGCCGUCUGGAGCCAGUUGAAGUACCAUGUGAUCGUCGAUCAUGUGCAACGAGUUGUCCAGAGGGUUGAUCGCUAAUUCCGUAGGCCAACGAAGGUGGACUUCUUCCACGUUCAGGGUGCCCUCGCAAGGGAUGGGUUUCCAAUGCGACUUGUGCAUGUGAUUGCCGAUCACGGUGGUGAUGAUACCAUCCCUGUCGACCAUUCUGAUGUUGGUUCCGUCCGCGAAAUACAGUACGUUGUCGGCGGAUACAGCUACCCCCUUGGGAUAGGCCAGUUUGGCGUCUCUGGCCAGGGCACCGUCUCCGCAAUGGGCUUCGUCGCCAGGAAGACAGCGUUCUCCAGAUCCAACUACCGUUUCCCAGUUGUGGUCAGGGUCGGAGUAAUCGUUGGUAUCGCGGACUCGGAUAAUUUGAUGGGAUUCCGGGUCGGAAAUGUAGAGGGAACCGUCCAAUGGACUGAGAGCUAUGUGAUAACGGAAGCUUACUUGAGCCUGACAACGGUCCUAACGGUUCCAUCGACGAGGAUCUUUCUCACAAGAUUGAAAUCACCGACAAAAAUGGAACCAUCUGGAGCAGUGGCGAGAGCAACGGGCGCAAGAAGCCGCUGUUUGGAAGCUUGCCCAUCGCAAUCGUAACAAUCCAAUGGCCUCUGGUGUCCAUCUCCCAUAGUCGUCAGAAUAACCCUGGGUUUCUGUUUCAGAUAGAUAUUCGAACCGUCUCCUUUUUGCAAUAUACCCUCGUGGAAAUUGUAUCUAUGAUGAAUAUCCAAAUUCCACCCGCCAACUUCGGAAAUGGACAUAUCGUGACCGCUAAGUUUCGUCGUCUGCACGUCCCAGAUGAUGUCUUUGCAGUCGUUGUACUCGUACCCCACUUUCACCAUGGCCGUGGUGACACCGUACACGCGUUGCCUAUACACGUUCAACCGAUUCCACGCAUAAGUGAAUUUUAUCACUGGAUCCGCCUCGAACGUUUUCUCGAACAGGAUGCCCUCGAUUGUAAUUCUCAAAUGGAUUAGAUUUAGAGUCGGCGGUAUCACUUCCGGCGUCAAUUGCAAUUGUAUCGUGGAUAGAUAGCCGGCUGCUCUGGAGCUGUGGUAAACAAGAUUCAAUCCUGUGCCAGGUAUUUGCAGGCUUUCUUGUAUGACUUGGGACUCGGCCAAAAUGGCGCUCUUGUCGGGACAGGCACCUUGGAAGCCGUGCUUCCACGUAGCCAGAACCACUGGCUUCAUCAGAUCGUAAUCGUGAGCCGCGCACGCGUGUGGAACGUGGCUAGGUUGCUUUUCUUCGGCGGUGCUCAUCACGAUUUUGUCGAUAAUUACAACCUUCGAGAAUGAAAGAGAUAAUAAUGUUUAUGUUAGAGAUUGCUCGUUAAAGAUUAUUCUUUCCAAGAGUACAUAAAUUCUCGUUUUAUAUAAGUUUUUAAUGUCACGGUCGAUUCACUUACGUCGAAUAUAGCGGACGAAGGACAUCAAAGUAUUUAUACGUAAAUUGCUAGUUAUUUUUAGUAGUUGAGAAAUAAUUCUAAGCUUGGAAAUAAUCUUUAUCUCGAACGUAUAUAAAUCGCGUGCGUAUAAAUCGUUUCCUCCCACGAGUACAGGUGCGAUUGAUUAUACAAGUAUUUUUAAAUUUACUUAUUUAUAAAUUCAUUUCCAUAUUAUACUCGUACAAAUGAGAAGGAUAACGAUUAGUUUCAGACAUUUUUAUUUUCUGCAAUUAUCAGAAAUGCAAAAUUAUAAAUAUCACUCAAUAUGUAAUACGCGAUAAUAUUAUAUAUUUAAAUAAAUAUUACUCUGUUCCAGGUAUCAAAUUCGAAUUCAUCGAGGAGAAAUACUUUGAUCAUCCUUCUUCUUUUCCAUUUGACUCGCAAUAUCACAAUAUCAUCCAUAAUUAAAUUAAUUAUGGAACACGUCUAUACCUCGUUCCAUGGGACGAAAACUAUGUGGCUCUGCGGCUUGAAGGGCGACCUGCCGAACUGGAGAGUGACCGCACCACCACCGUUCACUAGGAGAUCGAACCAGCCGUCGUCUCUCGUCAGAGUGAAGCCUUCCAGGGGUGUGCUGGUACUGACUCGCACCCCCAUCAGACCGGUGCCAAGAUGCGUGACAACGCGACCACGGACAACGGCCGAUCGGCUGUCAGGAAACAAUAACGUUAACGAUCCAAUGGCUGUCAAGUCGGUCGCGUCAACUAACGUGAUUACUUUUUUCCACUGUGCACCGUGGCACACUAACAACAAAGCAACUGUUACUGUCUAAUCUAAUCUCAAUCUACGAUGGUAUUACUGUGUAUACUUCGUUCGUAUUUCGUCUUGCAGUGUUCUUAAGUAAUAAUUAUUUCUGGGAACGAAGAUGUACUGUUACUUGUUGUAACGCGAAAUUGGAUUAACUUUACAAUACGAUAAAUAUUUUGUAAAUUCUAGUACGUUUCUUUUUUUUAUGAUAAAUCUAUUUGUACUUCUUCUAUCUGUACCUCUUCGUUCUUGUAAUUGGUAUUCCGUGCGUAGUAUAAUUAUAUAUCAGAAACAAACUCGAAUACGCGGGAUAAUUCAGUCAACGCGAUUUCUGUCUUCUGUCAACGUUCCUCUUCAGUGCUAAAGAGGUGGUUAGUUAAUAAUCUGAAAGUGUUUAUUGUUUAUUUUUCCCCCCCUCUUUUAUCUCAUGUGUAAUAAUCAGUGCCGUUUCAAAAUUCUGAAUUUUGUUUUCAACAAAUUCGUUUGUAUAUUAGAUCCCAAGAUAAAUUCAUAAUUUAAUUUACAUUAAAAAUUCACUACUGUCUCGAGGAAAACGAAUAACGAGAACUAAAUAUAUAUAUAUAUAUGAAUUUUUUUCAUUUUCUCCAUCGAGAGAAAUUAACUUGUGAGAAAAAGUCCUCCCUCAUUGGCACUGAAGAAGCAUUGGUCGAGGUCGGGUUGACAGUAAAUACAUAUAUAUACACAUACACAUAUAACACGAAUAACACAAAGUCAGAAGCUUAACUUAAAAGGCACGAAAGACAACGUAGGAAUAAUAAGGUAACCAAACCAUGCAACGAGAAAGAGAUUCGAACACUGAUGAGAAGGAGACAAGAGGGUUGGUGUUGUGAGCUUUCUUUUUUUUUUUUUCUCUUUCUUUUUUUUUUUCUUUUCUUAAUUUUCUGUGAUCAAUCGCACGCCACGCCGCAACACAUUCGAGAAAAAGAGAUUCUUCCUCGCUUGUCGACAGCUGUCGAUCGUAACGAUUAAGUGUCGGCAAAUCGUGAAAACCCUCGUAACUCGAGAUCGAAUUGAAAGCGCGCGUGCGACCUCAUUCGGAUGCAGGAAAUAGUAUAUAUUACGUAGUUAUGUGUUACACACGAUACCAAAUGCACGAAAAUAUCGUCAAACAGCAUAUCAGCAGAUAUUCAACCACUUUUUUUUUUUUUUUACUUUUUUAUUUUUUACUCUUUUCUUUUUUCCUCUUUCUUUUACUUUUUUUUUUCUUUACUCUUUUCUCUCUUGAUCGACGAAAUGGCUUUCUUACCUUGUGUUGAAGUGAUUCCAGAACAUACUGAACGGGCAGCACGGAUAAAACAGAGCCGAGUUAAAAAAUGAUGCGAUUAAAGGCAAAAAUUAGAUGGAAGAGAGAUAGAAGAAGAGAAGAAAGUUAAAGAAUGGAGAAAGGAGAUAGAUUAGUAAACAAUUCGAUUAGCUCGGGAUAAUAUUAUUAAAAGGAUGAGAAUAGGUAAAUUGCGAGUGUAGAUUUCGAAGGAUGGAAGAUUAUAAAAGAAGGAUAUCUUCGAGAGAAACUUAGAUAAAAAUUCUUAGGAAUCGAUAAUUAUCCCCUCUUUGAUCGAAAAAGCUCGAGGCUCGAACAUGGAGUCACACAUUCACGCAAGCUCCACUCGGACGGACACGUGAGAGAGAAAGAGGUAUGUAAUGCGUAAAUGGAGUCGAUCGUACGAUCGAUCGGUUCGACGAUGAUUGAGAGAAAAUAGCGAUAAAAGACGGGAUGGAAGAGAUGUAAUAGAAUGAUGAGUGAGAUAUAGAAAGAUUGAGAAGGGGGGGAUUUCAGUGCAGGGCACACGCUCGCGCACACGUACGUACAAACAUAUGUAUAAAACUUUUGGGAUGUGAUUUGACACGGGUCACAACAACGCAGAGAAUAUAUCAUAUAUAUAUCUAUGUAUACGUCUUCGUGUUUCUUGUAUGAUAUAAUAUAAACGUGUGUAAUAUAUAUAUAAAAAAAAAAUAAAUAAAUAAAUAAA